UUUAUUUCUAGUAGCAUUCGUAUCUUUGAUCUGUGUCUGCAAGGAAGGAGCAGGGUGCUUCGGUUCUAAAUUUUGGUACGGUUGCUAUGCUCAUUGGUCAUCGCAAAGCUUGUUUUGAGCUUCUGUUUGACAGAGUAGGUCCCUUGGAUUAUAUCUAGAGCAGUACAUGGCAACAUACAAAUUAAUCAAGCUGUUAAUAAAUACUUGUGUUUGCACAUAAAUAGAUAAUAAUGAGCCAAUGAUUUUUCUUCAAUUGUAACCCUUAGGGAGUCAAGAAUCAAAUUGCAGCCAGCAGGUUAAGAUGCUCUACACCUAGAGAGAAGAUUAAAUCAAAUAGUAGAUAAAGAUCUAAUGGGAGAGCGACUUAGUUAAAUGGGAAGAAAUGGUCCAAGUUGCACUCAUGUGUAGACAUUUUAGGGGACUUCAUUCAUUAUGUAGAAUUGCAUAUACUUGGUUAUA